AGGCGGCACUGUCGCUGUACCGUGAAGCUGAUCCGCCGAGGGAGCAAUCAACCAUCAGUGGAGGAGGUAUACGUUCCGGUUUCCCCGCAAUUUAGCUACUUCGUCCCCUGACGCCCUCCCGUCACCCUCUUUACUGCGGCAGCAGCAGCAGCAAUGGCUCUUGGCUAGGUUAAUUGAUUCUGGUUGUUCAUCCUUUUUGUGGUCUAUUGAUUCGGGCAUUUGUGUUUGUUCCGAUUGCUUAGGAAUAAUGUAAUCUGAUUUUUUUAGGGGACGUAAUCUGAUGAGAUGAUAAUGCAGCUUCCGAAUCAAUUGUAGCCUGCUUCAGUGGCCACGUUGGGGGAUCGAUCCCAUUGUUCCAUUCUCAGCAGAAGAUAAUUGAUAUCUGUUUCUGGUGAGAAAUUUCUCCUGUGUGAUGCAAGUUCACCCAUUUCUGUACCUGGACGGCUGGGUGAUUUUGUGACUCAUUGCUCCAGAUGAUCUUUUCAUGUAGGUUUUGAGGACUCAAAGGUCAUCGACCCUCAUUGACACAUAUGAACCGACCUACCGACCUGUUGCUAACUCUACUUGAUCAUGCAUGCCCCUGUAUCACAGGAUUUAUUCAUAUCUAUCCACAUAAGUAAAUGUUAUUAAUUUGUGAGCAGUUCCACUUCUACGUACAGUUCCAUAUCAGAACACAACACACGGUUAUGUCCAUUCUUAAAUACUUGGAACUUUUACAUGCGAAAACCAUAUGAAAUUUACCUGUCAAAACUGUCAAGGAG
rnacentral:lncRNA from 1 species